CCUAGGCGCAUUUAAGAGCUGACUACCGGGGAAAAGGAUCUCUUCUGGAGAUCCCCUCUCUGGAGUUUUGCAUUAAGCCCAGGAUGCAGGGGGAUUCCUGGAUCCCUUCCUUAUGCAGAAAAGGCAGUUGGAGGGGAGAUCAAGCAACACUCUGCUCCUCAGAGAAGAAAAGCUAUGUAUAAUUUAGGAAUGAAACAAUGGUAAAGAUACGAGGCAAAAAAAUUAGGAGAUAUGGUCUUCAAGCUCAUACUUGGUCUGUAAUCUUGGUCAUACCACUGAACGAAACAGGACAGAAGGAUGGAAGGAAGAAAGACCCAAAAGCACCUUCAAGUCUUCAACUCAAGAAUGUGAUCCAUAAAGUCCUUCUGAGGCACCUGCAUUUCACCUGCUGCAGAUGAGGUGAACCCAGCAUGUAUUCAUACAUGUUAAAAAUUCAGUAUAGACACCCUCUGUGCUUAAACUCCUUGAAGCUGCAUCAAUGCUAAUAAAUGAAAUGUGCCAGCACUGGCAACGAGGCCAAUUGGCAGGGAAUGCCCUGUAUUCAUGAUGUUAAACCUCAUGCAACAAGAGACACUACCUACAAAUGGCACUCCAGUGAUGGGCUCUAUGUCACACUAACUCCUGAACUGUUCCCCUGCAUUACUUGAGAGUCAGCAUGGGUAAAAAGCAGGCCAAGGACUGCUCUAAGGGAGAACAGACAUUGCGUUCAGGGGCUUAAUAAUAUUCCUGGAUGCUGUUUAAUAUAUGAGAACGGACAUAACCUGAGGGUCUUGAAUAAACAAAUGGAAUCUUAA